UACGUAGGUGACGAGCGUUAUCCGGAAUCACUGGGCGUAAAGCGCACGCAAGCGGUCUGACAAGUCGGGUGUGAAAUCCCUGGGCUCAACCCAGGAAGUGCACUCGAAACUGGCAGGCUUGAGUACUGAAGAGGGUCGCGGAAUUCCCGGUGUAGAGGUGAAAUUCGUAGAUAUCGGGAGGAACACCAGUGGCGAAGGCGGCGACCUGGGCAGAUACUGACACUGAGGUGCGAAAGCGUGGGGAGCAAACAGG
rnacentral:rRNA from 1 species